rnacentral:rRNA from 1 species
GAUGAACGCUGGCGGCGUGCCUAAUACAUGCAAGUCGAGCGAACGGACGAGAAGCUUGCUUCUCUGAUGUUAGCGGCGGACGGGUGAGUAACACGUGGAUAACCUACCUAUAAGACUGGGAUAACUUCGGGAAACCGGAGCUAAUACCGGAUAAUAUUUUGAACCGCAUGGUUCAAAAGUGAAAGACGGUCUUGCUGUCACUUAUAGAUGGAUCCGCGCUGCAUUAGCUAGUUGGUAAGGUAACGGCUUACCAAGGCAACGAUGCAUAGCCGACCUGAGAGGGUGAUCGGCCACACUGGAACUGAGACACGGUCCAGACUCCUACGGGAGGCAGCAGUAGGGAAUCUUCCGCAAUGGGCGAAAGCCUGACGGAGCAACGCCGCGUGAGUGAUGAAGGUCUUCGGAUCGUAAAACUCUGUUAUUAGGGAAGAACAUAUGUGUAAGUAACUGUGCACAUCUUGACGGUACCCUAUCAGAAAGCCACGGCUAACUACGUGCCAGCAGCCGCGGUAAUACGUAGGUGGCAAGCGUUAUCCCGGAUUAUUGGGCGUAAAGCGCGCGUAGGCGGUUUUUUAGUCUGAUGUGAAAGCCCACGGCUCAACCGUGGAGGGUCAUUGGAAACUGGAAAACUUGAGUGCAGAAGAGGAAAGUGGAAUUCCAUGUGUAGCGGUGAAAUGCUCAGAGAUAUGGAGGAACACCAGUGGCGAAGGCGACUUUCUGGUCUGUAACUGACGCUGAUGUGCGAAAGCGUGGGGAUCAAACAGGAUUAGAUACCCUGGUAGUCCACGCCGUAAACGAUGAGUGCUAAGUGUUAGGGGGUUUCCGCCCCUUAGUGCUGCAGCUAACGCAUUAAGCACUCCGCCUGGGGAGUACGACCGCAAGGUUGAAACUCAAAGGAAUUGACGGGGACCCGCACAAGCGGUGGAGCAUGUGGUUUAAUUCGAAGCAACGCGAAGAACCUUACCAAAUCUUGACAUCCUUUGACAACUCUAGAGAUAGAGCCUUCCCCUUCGGGGGACAAAGUGACAGGUGGUGCAUGGUUGUCGUCAGCUCGUGUCGUGAGAUGUUGGGUUAAGUCCCGCAACGAGCGCAACCCUUAAGCUUAGUUGCCAUCAUUAAGUUGGGCACUCUAAGUUGACUGCCGGUGACAAACCGGAGGAAGGUGGGGAUGACGUCAAAUCAUCAUGCCCCUUAUGAUUUGGGCUACACACGUGCUACAAUGGACAAUACAAAGGGCAGCGAAACCGCGAGGUCAAGCAAAUCCCAUAAAGUUGUUCUCAGUUCGGAUUGUAGUCUGCAACUCGACUACAUGAAGCUGGAAUCGCUAGUAAUCGUAGAUCAGCAUGCUACGGUGAAUACGUUCCCGGGUCU